rnacentral:tRNA from 1 species
GGCAGUGUAGCUCAGAGGCAGAGUGCCUGCCUAGCAUGCCUGAGUCCCAGGGUUCAAUCCCCUGCACUACAA